rnacentral:lncRNA from 1 species
CUGAUAUUUGACCGGACUGACACAUUCCCAGCGUCUAUUUUGAUUUUUUGCCUGAUCAGGCUUUCCCAGUGGUAAACUGAUUUCUCUGCAGUAACAAAACAGCACCAAAUGUUGCAGCUCAGCUGCUGGGCCCCCGUGCUCCACGAGGAGUCUGUGGUUCUGCAUACCUGUGGAUAGCCCUUAUCAUGCCAGAGGAAGCCUAUAAAUAAUAACCAGAGAGGCCCGGUUGCCAUAGCGCUGCCAGCCUUGGCUAUCAAGUAGCAGAGAGCAGUCAUUACUCAACGAAAAAAAAAAAAAAAAAGAAACAACCACCCAACCCCACCAAAAUCCAGGACUGCACGGGCCAAUCAACAUUUUCUUUCCUUUUUAAUUCAUGUCGCCAGCCGGCGGGAGCAUCCCUGUGCGCAUCACAGCCGCUGCGCUGUUUUCUUGCGGAAGUUUUUGGUUCAGUCUCUGCGUUAAACAGGACGGACUGCAGUGCUGACUCACGGACACCUGUGACGUUGGUCGUGGCAGCAGCAGAUCCUGGAGGAUGUACUUCCCAAGAAGCUGCUUGGAGUACCCGUGCCACUGGUGUCGCCCCCUCGGUGCCUGCAAUUCACCCCAGCGCAAGCAGGUGCUCUGCAGCUCUGUGAAUCACAGCGCCGUUCCUUAGAAACCAGGUGAUACGGGCAGAGCUUUCAUCUUGUGAUAUUUUUUAGUAACGAGAACAUCAUAGGGACAUAAAACGUGUGGGAUACCAUCAAAGACUAGAAGAAUGCACGCUGGUUAAAAAUUAGCCUUUUCUUUUCAAAUGCACUCAAAAUUAUGUGAAGGAUCAUAUCCAAAGAAAUAGAGAGUCUUCCAUUUUUUAAAGUAAAAUCAUACCCCUAGUGGCUCGGGUAAUACAAAAAUUAAUGCCAGUGCUAAAAUGUAAUUAAAAAGGUGGAAAACCUGACAUCUUUCUGCUCUAAAAUUGUGAGCUGUCUUGUCAUCAGUUUACUCAUUACCAGGCUUUACCAGCUGGAUGCUAUAGGGUAAUAUGAUGAUCUGGUGUCUCUAGCGAGCCAUGCCAUCCAUCAUAACCAGUUUAAAAAAAAAAAAAAAAGGCAAUUGGCUUUUAUAUAAAAAUAAAAGUGUGCAGAAUAAAAAUACCUCUUAGCA